rnacentral:rRNA from 1 species
UACAGAGGGGGCUAGCGUUGUUCGGAAUCACUGGGUGUAAAGGGUGCGUAGGCGGUCCGUUAAGUCUGAUGUGAAAGCCCUGGGCUCAACUCAGGAAUGGCAUUGGAAACUGGCGGGCUGGAGUACUGAAGAGGGAAGCGGAAUUCCUGGUGUAGCGGUGAAAUGCGUAGAUACCAGGAGGAACACCGGUGGCGAAAGCGGCUUCCUGGACCAGUACCGACGUUCAGGCACGAAAGCGUGGGGAGCAAACAGG